GGGGGCGACAAGGUAUCGACCGGACGUGUGACCCGUCGGUAGCGUGCCGAGGACGCCGGUUGGCCUCGUAAAUCAUCCGGCACGGCAUACAAAUGCCAACAACUACGCUCUCGCUGCUUAAUUGAAGCAGCCGCCGCCCGGGACCUCUCCCGCGGGUUCCGGACCGGCGACACAAGCGGGAUAGCCGAAGCGAGCGCCCGGGUAGCUUAGGCGAAACAUCACCGGGUCUGCCGUGAGGGGAUCCAGCCGCCCGGAGCCCCGAACGGCGGGAACGAAAAGGGCGGCUACGCACGUAGAAGCUGGCGGUAAUCCGUCGCGGGACGGGGGUUCGAUUCCCCCCGCCUCCACCA
rnacentral:tmRNA from 1 species